GACUCUCUUUUCAGACUCAGCCCACUUGCACCCAAGUGAAUUAACAGCCUUGUUGCUCACACAAAGCCUGUUUAGGUGGUCUUCUAUACGGACAUGCUUGACACUUGGUGCCAAAAUCUGGGCCAGGGGGACUCCUUCGUGAGACCGGCCCCCUGUCCUGGCCCUCAUUCCGUGAAGAGAUCCACCUGCGACCUCGGGUCCUCAGACCAGCCCAAGGAACAUCUCACCAAUUUCAAAUCGGAUCUCCUCGGCUUAGUGGCUGAAGACUGAUGCUGCCCGAUCGCCUCAGAAGCCCCUUGGACCAUCACAGAUGCCGAGCUUCGGGUAACUCUUACGGUGGAGGGACAGCAAAAGAAACAGCAAAUGCCUCCACGCCUGCAAAUAUUCUAGCCCUCACCCCAAAAGAUUCCCAGCCAUAUGAAGACACCCUAGCUGGACGAUCAGUCCUUGUCAAAAGUCUGACCCCUCAAACUCUACAGCCUCAAUGGACCAGACCCUACCCGGUCAUUUAUAGCACACCAACUGCCGUCCAUCUGCAGGACCCUCUCCAUUGGGUUCACCAUUCCAGAAUAAAGCCAUGCCCAUCAGACAGCCAGCUUGAUCUCUCCUCUUCCUCCUGGAAGCCACAAGAUUAGGCCGAGAGCCGAUCAGACAAACAACCUACAACCCUUAAGCUCCUGGCAGCGCCCAGCCAAGGCCAUGCUUCCUUGCAACACUCCUUCCAAAUGGCCAUCCCAGCAUGCUUCCAAGCAGGCUUCAUCCGUUCCUCUGGACCCUCAUCUCUUAAGACCUGCCGCCUAUAAAAAGGAUUAUAUCUUGAGACCCUAUCCUCUAAAAUUUUUUCCACACCCAAAA
ensembl:lncRNA UCA1 urothelial cancer associated 1